GAUGAAGAACGUAGCGAAAUGCGAUACGUAAUGUGAAUUGCAGAAUUCAGUGAAUCAUCGAGUCUUUGAACGCACAUUGCGCCCCCUGGUAUUCCGGGGGGCAUGCCUGUCCGAGCGUCAUUGCUGCCCUCAAGCACGGCUUGUGUGUUGGGCCUCCGUCCUCCUCCCGGGGGACGGGCCCGAAAGGCAGCGACGGCACCGCGUCCGGUCCUCGAGCGUAUGGGGCUUCGUCACCCGCUCUUGUAGGCCCGGCCGGCGCUUGCCGACACAUCAAUCUUUUUUCCAGGUUGACCUCGGAUCAGGUAGGGAUACCCGCUGAACUUAAGCAUAUCAAUAAGCGGAGGA
rnacentral:misc_RNA from 1 species